rnacentral:rRNA from 1 species
UACCUACGGGGGGCAGCAGUGGGGAAUAUUGGGCAAUGGGCGCAAGCCUGACCCAGCGACGCCGCGUGAGUGAAGAAGUAUUUCGGUAUGUAAAGCUCUAUCAGCAGGGAAGAAAGAAAUGACGGUACCUGACUAAGAAGCCCCGGCUAACUACGUGCCAGCAGCCGCGGUAAUACGUAGGGGGCAAGCGUUAUCCGGAUUUACUGGGUGUAAAGGGAGCGUAGACGGCAAUGCAAGCCUGAAGUGAAAGGCGGGGGCCCAACCUCCGGACUGCUUUGGAAACUGUAUGGCUGGAGUGCAGGAGG